UACGGAGGGUGCAAGCGUUAUCCGGAUUUAUUGGGUUUAAAGGGUCCGUAGGCGGAUUUGUAAGUCAGUGGUAAAAUCUCACAGCUUAACUGUGAAACUGCCAUUGAUACUGCAAGUCUUGAGUGUUGUUGAAGUAGCUGGAAUAAGUAGUGUAGCGGUGAAAUGCAUAGAUAUUACUUAGAACACCAAUUGCGAAGGCAGGUUACUAAGCAACAACUGACGCUGAUGGACGAAAGCGUGGGGAGCGAACAGGAUUAGAUACCCUGGUAGUCCACGCCGUAAACGAUGCUAACUCGUUUUUGGGAUGUAAAUUUCAGAGACUAAGCGAAAGUGAUAAGUUAGCCACCUGGGGAGUACGAACGCAAGUUUGAA
rnacentral:rRNA from 1 species